rnacentral:rRNA from 1 species
CUCGAGUGGCGAACGGGUGAGUAACACGUGGGUGAUCUGCCCUGCACUUCGGGAUAAGCCUGGGAAACUGGGUCUAAUACCGGAUAGGAGCCAUUUUUAGUGGGAUGGUUGGAAAGUUUUUUCGGUGUAGGAUGAGCUCGCGGCCUAUCAGCUUGUUGGUGGGGUAAUGGCCUACCAAGGCGGCGACGGGUAGCCGGCCUGAGAGGGUGGACGGCCACAUUGGGACUGAGAUACGGCCCAGACUCCUACGGGAGGCAGCAGUGGGGAAUAUUGCACAAUGGGCGCAAGCCUGAUGCAGCGACGCCGCGUGGGGGAUGACGGCCUUCGGGUUGUAAACUCCUUUCGCUAGGGACGAAGCUUUUUGUGACGGUACCUAGAUAAGAAGCACCGGCUAACUACGUGCCAGCAGCCGCGGUAAUACGUAGGGUGCGAGCGUUGUCCGGAAUUACUGGGCGUAAAGGGCUCGUAGGUGGUUUGUCGCGUCGUCUGUGAAAUUCGCGGGGCUUAACUCCGGGCGUGCAGGCGAUACGGGCAUAACUUGAGUACUGUAGGGGUAACUGGAAUUCCUGGUGUAGCGGUGAAAUGCGCAGAUAUCAGGAGGAACACCGAUGGCGAAGGCAGGUUACUGGG